GCCACAAACCUAGCCCAAUGAAUACUCAUGUUAUAAGCAUAACUAGACAGUCUGAAUAAACCAUUUUUAUAUUCUAGUAAAGGAGAUUGAAAAAUCUAUUGGAGCUAUAAAGGUAGUACCGCAAGGGAAUAAUGAAAUAACAAAUGAAAAAUUCAAGCAAUAAAAAGUAAAGACUACACCUUGUACCUUUCGCAUCAUGGUUUAACUAGUCCAAUCAAGCAAAACGUAUUAAAGUUUGACACCCCGAAACUAAGUGAGCUACUUCAAGGCAGCUGAAAGAGCAAACCCGUCUCUGUAGCAAAAGAGUGGGACGACCAUCAAGUAGAGGUGAUAAACCUAACGAACUUAGUGAUAGCUGGUUACUCAAAGAAACGGAUUUUAGUCCAACCUGAAUUUUUAACCAAUAGUACCCUAAAACAACUUUUUAAAUUCAGCGUAAUUCAAAUAAGGUACAGCCUAUUUGAAACAGGAUACAACCUAAACCAGAGGAUAAGAUCAGCCCAAAGAGCAAUCAAGUUGGCCUAAAAGCAGCCAUCUUUCAAACUGCGUCAAAGCUUAUUUGUUCUAACGCCUAAUUACCAAAUUUUUAUCUUAAUCCCUCACCCAUAUUGAGUAGCUCUAUAAUACUAUAGAAACUUUUAUGUGAAAACUAGUAACAAGAAGAAGGCCCUUCUCUUAAAUGUUAGUGUAAAUCAGAAAGGACAAACCACUGAUACUUAACACCCUUGAACCUAAAGUAAUAACCCACCAAGAAAAUUCUACUCUAAUUAGUGUUAACCUAACACAAGAGCAUUUUAAGAAAGAUUUAAAAGAAGAAGAAGGAACUCGGCAAAUAUUAACCCCGCCUGUUUACCAAAAACAUCGCCUCUUGAACCUAUAAGAGGUCCAGCCUGCCCAGUGACUUUGUUCAACGGCCGCGGUAUCCUAACCGUGCGAAGGUAGCGUAAUCACUUGUUCUUUAAAUGAGGACUAGUAUGAACGGCACCACGAAGGUUAUACUGUCUCCUUUUUUUGAUCAGUGAAACUAAUCUCCCCGUGAAGAAGCGGGGAUAAGCCUAUAAGACGAGAAGACCCUAUGGAGCUUUAAACAACGCAGCACUUACCCUAUAAUACAAAAAUUCCUGAACAUAAGCUUGUUAAGUAAGAUGACUACAAGUUUUUGGUUGGGGUGACCACGGAGCACAACAUAACCUCCACGUUGAAAGAAUGCUAUUCUAAACUAAGACCUACCUAUCGAAGUAUCAAUAUUUUGACAUCAAUUGACCCAAUACUUUUGAACAACGAACCAAGUUACCCUAGGGAUAACAGCGCAAUCCACUUUAAGAGCCCCUAUCGACAAGUGGGUUUACGACCUCGAUGUUGGAUCAGGGUUUCCAAGUGGUGCAGCCGCUACUA
rnacentral:rRNA from 1 species